GCCUGAGUGGCUCAGUGGUUGAGCAUCUGUCUUUGGCUCAGGUCAUGAUCCCGGGGUCUUGGGAUCUAGACCCACAUCAGGCU
rnacentral:tRNA from 1 species